AACAUUGCAUAAUGGGGGAAACCCUGAUGCAGCGACGUCGCGUGAGCGAAGAAGGCCUUCGGGUCGGAAAGCUCUGUCCUGAGGGAAGAAACGGACGGUACCGUAGGAGGAAGCCCCGCCUAACUACGGGCCAGCAGCCGCGGUAAUACGUAGGGGGCGAGCGUUCGCCGGAAUUAUGGGGCGUAAAGGGUGCGUAGGCGGCCUUUUAAGUCAGAUGUGAAAGGCUACGGCUUAACCGUAGUUAGCAUUUGAAACUAAAAGGCUUGAGUGCAGGAGAGGAGAGUGGAAUUCCUAGUGUAGCGGUGAAAUGCGUAGAUAUUAGGAGGAACACCAGUGGCGAAGGCGACUCUCUGGACUGCAACUGACGCUGAGGCACGAAAGCGUGGGGAGCGAACAG
rnacentral:rRNA from 1 species